UGUUUUUUUCUUAAAACAGGUACUGAGGAUAAAACAAUAUAAAAUAAUAUGAGAGGGUCUUUCUCUUCCUUCAUUCCCCCCUUUUGAGACUCUCACUUUUUAUUAGCGGGAGUUCUCACUCUUAUUUUUGUUACUUAUGUCUUUUUGUGCAACAGAUUGAUAGUGAUUUAUAUAGUACACUUGUGCUGAAGCACUUUGGUGAACUAAGGUAGCGAUGAAGCUUUUUAUCAUUUGAAGAAGUACAGGUAGGAAACAAAGGAGCGCAACCCCAUGAGGUUGAUAAUACUAUGACCACCAAUGCCAUUUCAUUGGUGAGGAAGUUGAAGCAAAUAAAGUCCAAGUAACUUGUCCAACCCCACAUCAUUAUGUAGUGGUUUCUCAGAGACUUGAAUGAAGGGCAUCUGGAUCCAGAGUGCCAGCUCUUAACCACCAUGUUAUGCUGAGUCUUCUAUUUGAGCUGUUGUGAAAUGGGUUGAAUUCUUGAUU
rnacentral:lncRNA from 1 species